GAGUUUGAUUCUGGCUCAGGAUGAACGCUGGCGGCGUGCCUAACACAUGCAAGUCGAGCGAGAAUCCGGGAAGCGGAGGCUUCGGCCGAAGCGACCCGGAGGAAAGCGGCGGACGGGUGAGUAACGCGUGGGCAACCUGCCUUUCACAAGAGGAUAGCCACCGGAAACGGUGAUUAAUACUGUAUGACAUAUACGAUUCGCAUGAAUGGUAUAUCAAAGAUUUAUCGGUGAAAGAUGGGCCCGCGUCUGAUUAGCUAGUUGGUGGGGUAAAGGCCUACCAAGGCGACGAUCAGUAGCCGACCUGAGAGGGCGAACGGCCACACUGGAACUGAGACACGGUCCAGACUCCUACGGGAGGCAGCAGUGGGGAAUAUUCGGCAAUGGGGGGAACCCUGACCGAGCAACGCCGCGUGAGCGAUGAAGGUCUUCGGAUUGUAAAGCUCUGUUGGAUGGGAAGAUAAUGACGUACCUCUNGAGCC
rnacentral:rRNA from 1 species